rnacentral:rRNA from 1 species
AGAGUUUGAUCAUGGCUCAGGAUGAACGCUAGCUACAGGCUUAACACAUGCAAGUCGAGGGGAAACGACAUCGAAAGCUUGCUUUUGAUGGGCGUCGACCGGCGCACGGGUGAGUAACGCGUAUCCAACCUGCCCAUCACUUGGGGAUAACCUUGCGAAAGUAAGACUAAUACCCAAUGAUAUCUCUAGAAGACAUCUGAAAGAGAUCAAAGAUUUAUCGGUGAUGGAUGGGGAUGCGUCUGAUUAGCUUGUUGGCGGGGUAACGGCCACCAAGGCUACGAUCAGUAGGGUUCUGAGAGAAGGUCCCCCANAUUGGAACUGAGACACGGUCCAAACUCCUACGGGAGGCA